rnacentral:rRNA from 1 species
GAGUUUGAUCCUGGCUCAGGAUGAACGCUGGCGGCGUGCUUAACACAUGCAAGUCGAACGGAGUACCCCUGAAGGAGUUUUCGGACAACUGAUGGGACUACUUAGUGGCGGACGGGUGAGUAACGCGUGAGUAACCUGCCUUGGAGUGGGGAAUAACAGCUGGAAACAGCUGCUAAUACCGCAUAAUAUGUCUGUGUCGCAUGGCACUGGACAUCAAAGAUUUAUCGCUCUGAGAUGGACUCGCGUCUGAUUAGCUAGUUGGCGGGGUAACGGCCCACCAAGGCGACGAUCAGUAGCCGGACUGAGAGGUUGGCCGGCCACAUUGGGACUGAGACACGGCCCAGACUCCUACGGGAGGCAGCAGUGGGGAAUAUUGGGCAAUGGGCGCAAGCCUGACCCAGCAACGCCGCGUGAAGGAAGAAGGCUUUCGGGUUGUAAACUUCUUUUCUCAGGGACGAAGCAAGUGACGGUACCUGAGGAAUAA